rnacentral:rRNA from 1 species
CAGUAGCCACGGUAAUACGAAGGGGGCUAGCGUUGUUCGGAAUUACUGGGCGUAAAGCGCACGUAGGCGGAUUUUUAAGUCAGGGGUGAAAUCCCGAGGCUCAACCUCGGAACUGCCUUUGAUACUGGAGAUCUUGAGUUCGGAAGAGGUUGGUGGAACAGCUAGUGUAGAGGUGAAAUUCGUAGAUAUUAGCUAGAACACCAGUGGCGAAGGCGGCUAACUGGUCCGAUACUGACGCAGAGGUGCGAAAGCGUGGGGAGCAAACAGGAUUAGAUACCCGGGUAGUCCCUGUCUCUUAUAA